AGUACGGCUGGUAUGUAUUGGUGAAUUGCACUAGUGAAUUCUUGUGUUACAAGUAACUAGAGAAUUCACGACAACGAGGUAAUGCAGAGAAGCAAUAGUACAUGAGAGAGAUUGAGAGAGAAGAGAGUAUGAUCUUGAGAACGUUGUGCUCAAUAUGUACUCUCAGUAGAAUAUUAGCGACAAAUAAGGGUGGGAAUGCAAUUUUGAGAGAUCGAAGCAAAAAUAACGCAGAGUAAUAACGGCAGAGCAUCUCGUACAGUAAGUACAAGUUGCAAAUAAUUAUUGGAUCAUUAUAUUAUUUACGUACAAGUUGGUCAUUGAAAGCAUGAUUUACUGUAGUAGAAAGAAAGGCAUCAGCGUUUUCUUUGUAAUUCUGAUAUUUCAUUUUUCGCAUAAUAGUUGUUCUCUGAUUGUACAAUUGAUUUCGUGUCGCGGGUUCUAAUACGUUUAUUGUUUAUUAAAAGUGUUAUUAAAAGGUGAAUAAUUAAAUGAAAUAAUAGUGAAUAAAAACAAAGAAAACAUAAACAUUUUAUAUGUAUAUAUGUAUGCAAAAAAAUGGAUUGCCCUGCAUAAUGAAAAAGAUCAACACCAAAUUUUAAUGGAACUCUUAGAAAUGUGGCUUGGGGAUAUAAGUGCAGUGAUAAAUAUGUCGCCUUUGAAUCCAGCCGAAGUGCACAAAAAUUUUGACGGAUAUUAACCGACUCUGUUGUUCAGAUGGUAAAUAUAAUUGUAAACAAAGAAAUUUUAAAUAAAAAUUAAUAUUGUUAAUUAUAUAAAAAUUAAAUAAAAUUUGUGUUUAAUUAUGUUUGGAAUAAACUAGCUAGGUUGAGAGGUAGUGAAGAAAGUAGUGAAAUUUAACAGUCGGUAAGUUGUGAGGUAACUAAUGAUAUAUAGUCAGUGAUAUGUGGUGAAGUAGCUAGUGAAGUAUAGGCGGUGAAAUCACUCGUGAAUAGUGUUAAUCGGUUACCGCCAAUGACAUCGCCGUGUUAAAUUCAUGAGUGAAUUGCAUUGCCGGUAUUAUGGUGGGUAACCAGUGGUGGUUACCAGUAAGUAGUGAACUCAUUAGUGUUUCACUAGUGAGCCGAACUGAAGGGUAGUGAUGAUACCCUGCAGUACGGCUGGUAUGUAUUGGUGAAUUGCACUAGUGAAUUCUUGUGUUACAAGUAACUAGAGAAUUCACGACAACGAGGUAAUGCAGAGAAGCAAUAGUACAUGAGAGAGAUUGAGAGAGAAGAGAGUAUGAUCUUGAGAACGUUGUGCUCAAUAUGUACUCUCAGUAGAAUAUUAGCGACAAAUAAGGGUGGGAAUGCAAUUUUGAGAGAUCGAAGCAAAAAUAACGCAGAGUAAUAACGGCAGAGCAUCUCGUACAGUAAGUACAAGUUGCAAAUAAUUAUUGGAUCAUUAUAUUAUUUACGUACAAGUUGGUCAUUGAAAGCAUGAUUUACUGUAGUAGAAAGAAAGGCAUCAGCGUUUUCUUUGUAAUUCUGAUAUUUCAUUUUUCGCAUAAUAGUUGUUCUCUGAUUGUACAAUUGAUUUCGUGUCGCGGGUUCUAAUACGUUUAUUGUUUAUUAAAAGUGUUAUUAAAAGGUGAAUAAUUAAAUGAAAUAAUAGUGAAUAAAAACAAAGAAAACAUAAACAUUUUAUAUGUAUAUAUGUAUGCAAAAAAAUGGAUUGCCCUGCAUAAUGAAAAAGAUCAACACCAAAUUUUAAUGGAACUCUUAGAAAUGUGGCUUGGGGAUAUAAGUGCAGUGAUAAAUAUGUCGCCUUUGAAUCCAGCCGAAGUGCACAAAAAUUUUGACGGAUAUUAACCGACUCUGUUGUUCAGAUGGUAAAUAUAAUUGUAAACAAAGAAAUUUUAAAUAAAAAUUAAUAUUGUUAAUUAUAUAAAAAUUAAAUAAAAUUUGUGUUUAAUUAUGUUUGGAAUAAACUAGCUAGGUUGAGAGGUAGUGAAGAAAGUAGUGAAAUUUAACAGUCGGUAAGUUGUGAGGUAACUAAUGAUAUAUAGUCAGUGAUAUGUGGUGAAGUAGCUAGUGAAGUAUAGGCGGUGAAAUCACUCGUGAAUAGUGUUAAUCGGUUACCGCCAAUGACAUCGCCGUGUUAAAUUCAUGAGUGAAUUGCAUUGCCGGUAUUAUGGUGGGUAACCAGUGGUGGUUACCAGUAAGUAGUGAACUCAUUAGUGUUUCACUAGUGAGCCGAACUGAAG